AGGGUGCGCCUUAGAACUGGGAGAGGAGACAAGUGAGCGGCGUUUCGCCCAGAGCUGAAUUCAAGGUACCUUUUAACCUACAAUAUAUUAAAACAUUUAUUGAACUACAAAUGCAACAAAGGGGACCUAAAUAUAGAGUCUAUAUAACACAAUGAAUUUAUUAUUAUACAUUGUACAAAGUUGCGGUGGAGUAACCCUUUGAAUGGUGUGUGAAACUCCAUGCUGUAUUCCCUCCUAGAAAUUCAGGAUUACAACCCUGAGACUUUAAACUGCUAUUCUAUGUUUUGCUUCUAGAUCUUGGCAACUAAAUAUGGACGCUGCUAACAAUGUUGUAAACUACAACCAAUGCCUUAUCAAAUAUAAAUCAGAGAAACCUUAGAGGGAUGGGACUCUCUUGGCAUCAUGCCAGCUCUGACCAGCUAUGGCGUCCACAUCAAACCAUUCCUUCUGGGUAUGCAUUGACUGAAUUGUGUACUACUAAGGAUGUCCAAAAGAUUGUUCCCCAGCUCUUGCAGAAAUACAACUCCCAUAAAGCUUUACCAGUUUUAUAAAUUUACCUUGUUUUACAUCAUGUGUUCUAAUGGUCAUUUGUUGGAUGAAAAUUUAAAGGGCUACUAUAGUGCCUGGAACACAAAGCUGUAUUCCUGGCACUAUAACUCAAACUGCCUCCCACUCCCUCACGCCUCCCUCCCCACUCGCCACGGUUAAUAAAGUGUUAAAAAACAUUUAUUUACUUAUCUGAUUCCAGCACCGACGUCCCUUGGCGCUGGGUCACGGCUCCGCCUACUCUGACGUCCCUCAACGAGUGGGUGCCAAUGCGCAUAAGGCCUCCCCAUAUGAGAGCAUUAAAUCAAUGCUUUCCUAUGGAGAAAUAGCUGAAGCUGGAUGUCCUUAUGUAGAGUGUGAGGAUGUCCAGUGUCAGUUAGUGGAUUAAAAAUCCGUUAACAUCCAGGAAGUGCCUCUAGUAGCUGUCUGGGAUCCACUGGAGGCAGACUUAGUGCUGCAAUGUAAGCAUUGCAGUUUCUCUAAAACUGCAAUGAUUUACAUUGAAGGACUAAGUGGGACAGGGAUACUGUACCCAGACCACUUCAAUUAGCAGAAGUGGUCUGGGUGUCUAUAGUGUCCCUUUAAGGUUGUAGAACCCUGGGAUGUGGUAACCUUUGUGGCUGCAACACAUGGAAUGUCCUCAAUAAGUUACUUUAUAGAUGACUUUACAUUGUUCUCUGUGGUAAGCUGAACCGACUCUAAUGUAAACAAUGCCACAGACAGUGGAGACAAAUAGAAACCUUAUAUACAGACAUGACACAUUAUCCCGUGCCUGUCUUCUGUCCUCCCACACUUUCCUCUGGACUUCCCUCUGCCUCUUGCAGUUUCUUUCCUGACUGUCAGUGGAAUGUAUAUUUACCUUAACCUCUCAUGUUCCAGGGAACGAUGUGUCAUACUCCCUGGCAAUGAAAAUGUCAAUACCAGCGGUAGCCGUGGGUUGGCACAAAUACCUGGCAGCUGAGAACAGUUUUACAGUACUUUAUGUGUCCCUAAGGGCCAAUAACAUGUCAAGGACUUUAGGAUGGUUUAAUUAACAUCCAAUUAGCUUUGCUUUACAUACUAUACAUACAACAUGUGUACAGCGUGCAGGUUAUUGUCUGGGUGUAUCAACACACUAUUUUUUACAAUGACUAUUAUUUACAUAUUAUUUUUGUGUGUGUGCAUGUGUGUGUAUAAAUAUAUAUAUAUAUAUAUAUAUAUAUAUAUAUAUAACAUAACAACAUCCAGCCCACUCACUCACUUACUAAACGGCAAUUUGGAUAGGACCAGGCCAAGAAUAGGGUACAUUGGUGUUGUGACAGGCUUAUGCAAUAUAUGAUCUUAUGCUGUAAUUAAACCCCCAUUAUUUUUAUCUGGGCUAGGUGUUUUUAAAGAAGACUACUGCAUUCUCCGGUUUAG